UGGGGAUUACAGGUUUUGGUACUGUGAUGUCUGAAGGGUGGCUUACAGGCAAAUAAGCAGGAGAGAAUCCAGGGCAGAGAGAUAUCUCAGAAAGAAACAUAAAAUUUAUAGGUAAGAUCGCAAUAAUGAUGAAGUUUUGAGAAGGUUGAAAAUUCAGCUUGAAAACUCAAUAUGUAAUGUCUCCUUCCAUCCAUUCAUCUGUCCUGCUGCUCUUCUCUGUUCUGGAGAGGCUUUGGAGGUGAAUCAGGAGGUGAACUGUGUGACAGACUUCAUUCAUGGUGUGAGGAUCAGCUCCAGAAAGUGAAGAAGCAAAAGGAGAAGGGGCUGCUCUAUGGCAUUCCCAUCAGGACCACAUUAACUGCAAGCAAAGGAGACAUCAUGGAUCCCAACCUGAAAUCCCAGUACAACACUCACAGGCUUCCUGCUCUGGUGAAAAGGACCUUGGCUAUGAUUUUGAAACCCACACUGCAUCCUCCUACACCAAUUUGUGCUGAACUUCCCUGCUGGGGUGGUGCCAGUCAGCAGGGUCACGAGAAGAGCUGAAGCAAUUCCAAGGGCACACAGGAGGCUGGAAGAGGCCAGCAGGACAAGAGCCCAGCUCUGAGCAAGCAGAGACACCUCUGGGGCAUUGUCCCCAGGCUUGUCCUCAUCUCCCCAUCUCCUGGGUUGGGUGGGAGCUGGUGGAGCAGGGCAGUUUGCACCCAGAGCUGCAGCAGGGCUGGUGUUUGUCAGCCUGGCAGCUGUGCCCUCGCUGGGCUUCCUCUGCCCUCCCCUCCUCAGUGUCCCGUGCCUGCCCCGGGCUGACUCAGCACUGCCCUUCCUUGGCAGGCUGUCAGGAGCAUGGGAUGAGCACGGCUCUGCCUGCCCUUCGUGAAGGAGGCUCUUGCCAUGGCACCAAGGGAAGUGUGGCAUCUCUGGAGCCAGCCUCCAGUGUGGCUUUUCACCCCCUGCCCUUCACUCCAGCCACCUUCUACAUGAUAUGAAGCAAACUAGGCAGUGAGUUGAAAACUCUGAACUAAUGUUUUAAUAA